rnacentral:lncRNA from 1 species
GGUCGGAGUUUUUUUAACUCACUGUGGUUGGAAUUCGUCACUUGAAAGUAUAAGUGAAGGUGUGCCUAUGAUCGGUUGGCCUUUCUUUGCUGAGCAACAAACAAAUUGUAGGUAUAUAUCUACAACUUGGGGGCCAAUAGGAAUGGAUAUUAAGGAUGAUGUGAAAAGAGAAGAGGUAACUACACUUGUGAAGGAAAUGAUCAAGGGUGAAAAAGGAAAAGAAAUGAGAAAAACAAGUCUUGAAUGGAAAAAGAAAGUAAUUGAAGCUAGUGAGCCUGGAGGUUCAUCUUACAAUGAUUUCUAUAGGUUGAUAAAGGAUGCUUUUCAUGGUGAAAUUAAUUAAUUGAGAUGUCUAAUGAUAAGGUUGGUAAAUAUAUGCCACACUAUGUUUAAUUUAAUUUCUAUUUUAUGUUGUUUGGUGUCAUUCUAGAGGUAAAAGGAUAAUUGGCUCUAAUUUGGCACUUUGUGUUGUGUAUCAAAUAAUACAUGUCUUCUACAAAGGCAUGUGAUCCAUUGUCUUGUAUUUCUAAGUAAUGAUCAUUGUUGUAUCUUUUGUUAGUUGUGUAUGUAUAGUUUGGUCUGUUGUGGCAUAUAUUGUAUGAUGUAUUGGGUGGGUUGUAGUAUCUACAAGUGGAAACCAUUUGUGCCAAGUAUUAAUUAUUCAUAAUAAAAAUAUAGAUUGUUGUAUAUUAUAAUGUCAAAUUCUAUUUAUAUUAUUAUUUUAGUAAUGAUUAUAUUUUUCUUUUUUU